rnacentral:rRNA from 1 species
CGGACGGGUGAGUAACGCGUAGGAACCUGUCAUUGAGUGGGGGAUAACGCUGGGAAACCGGCGCUAAUACCGCAUGUGGUCCUUUGGGGAGACCUGAAGGAAGAAAGCAGAGAUGCGCUCGAUGAGGGGCCUGCGUCCGAUUAGUUAGUUGGUGGGGUAAAGGCCUACCAAGGCGUCGAUCGGUAGCUGGUCUGAGAGGAUGGUCAGCCACACUGGGACUGAGACACGGCCCAG